ACCGGACAGACAACAGAGAAGGAUGUGUCUUUUGCUCCUGAAAGAAUAGAUUUUACAGAUGGGUUUUUCAUUCCCACGCCUACUUUACUCCCAUUCACUCCUGCUCAUCACGCAUGCUUCACGUUCAUUGGCUCCUGCUAACCACGCCUGCUUCACGCUCAUUGGUCCACGCAUAAGGCCACGCACUGAAAUCAAUUUUUCAUUCUUUGCAGUGACUCUAAACGGAGGGCUGAACCUUCAAGCAGAGGAGUCUGAGUCAUCAACUGAUACCUCAACACCCGGGACCUCAUCUGAUACUGACUCCUCAUCUGUGCUUUCAGAGGACGUGGUAUUACCCGACCUGUGGGGCGAUUUGGAUCAAUAUUUCCAUCAAGGGUUAUCGCCAUCAUCACCGCCACAGGAUGACGCAACAGGACAUGCCUCAGACGGUCAAAAACAUUAUACAUUCUCUAGAGUCUGUCCGGUUAACCGGAAGAGAUCCAGGGGAUGUGAUACCGCAUCAAAAUUUUGAAGAACAACGGCCAUUUCACCAGGAGUCUGUCUCAACCGCUAAUCAACCGCUGAUGGCCGCGGAGAGGUCUAGGCCUCAACCAGCGGACAGAGAUCCAGGAUUCUCAUCGGGUCGCAACAAGAGGAGAACCAGUUCUGAGAAUCCACACCUGAGAUCCCGCGGGGCUUCCAGCAAAGGUUUUCCAUCGGCACGCUCAAACAGACCCAGGUCCAGACCAUCCAGGUGUCCUCGGUGCUGCAGAGCUACACGCCAGCAAAUGGAGCUGAUGUCUAGAGCCUUUUGGCUCCUCUGUCAGAAGUUAGAUGUACAAAGUGACAAUUUGUAAACUGUUUCAGACUGUGAUUUUUUAUCAUCUGUAUAAAUUGCAAUGAUGUUGAUUUAGGUAGAUAGACGACGGGCCACUGAUGGGGGAGUAUUCCCGUCCUUAGUCUGUAUUGUUCUGGGCAGCCGGGUGUGAGAUCGAUGAUUAAAUACCCGUGAGGAUCUUUGGUAGCAUCUUCAAAACUUUCUAAUAAAAAGGCUUUUCAACCGUGAAACAUUUGUUGAGCCAAUAUAUUCAACUGUAAUCUGUCUCGAGGGUUUUUAAACAGUACCAGAUAAUUACUGUUUAAACUGAUGGUGCGGCUGUGCUUACCUUGAUGGAAAAGAUUUUAUUAUGCAUGCUUCACGCUCAUUGGCUCCUGCUAACCACGCCUGCUUCACGCUCAUUAAUCAACGCAUAACGCCACGCACUUCCGACGUGACGCACUUCCGGGGGGAGAGACAUCGUCUCGGAGAGACAUUAAUCAAAGGUCAAAGGUCACCAUCAAUCAUUUGUCAAUUAAAAAGUGACAGAAGAUAUUGUUUAUCGCUCUCUGUUGCCAAUAUUUUUUUUUCCUUUCCUCAGUUAAUGGCUAAAUCCGUUUCAGCUCAAAUAGCCUAUAAUCAGGAUUCAAAAUCAUAAAUCUCAAAUAAAAUAAAUAUUAUAAAAUAAUGAUAAAAUCCCAUAUUAUUUUCCUAAUUAGAGCCCACAUAACACAACAGUUCACUGGUAGUCAUGGUGAUGAGGACUGACGUGUUGAGCUGCUCCUAUAAAAGCUGAGGCCACAAUUCUAAUUCUAUUCUUUCUGCACCUGAGCCUGACAGGAGCUGACCUCUUGAAAAGUGAAACUCUUCAACUGUGGAACAAUUAGUGUUUUAAUUAAGAAAACAUCUUUGUUGAACUGCUAACAUCUGGAAGCGAGAAAGCAGCUUUUGCAGUGAGGGGGAAAAAAAUGGCCUCCUCUGGUUUACGCCGUGAGAAACACCUGGUGACUAUAGGCAUCCUCCAUUUGCUGGAUGACCGCUACGAUGCUCUGCCUCGGCCUGGACGAGUCCUUCAGCUGCUACUGACCAACCUGAGGAACCGUCCUCUGAGCAAAACAAGCGUCGACUCCAUGAGGGAGUCCAUCCUGAGCCUGUAUCACAACCUCAUCACAGGCUCCAAGGAGUUCCCUUUGAUUCCAUUCAAAGGAUCCUUCCGCUCAUGUCAGACGGCUACACCCUUCGUCCAUGUGGAGCAGGAGCAGAGGGAGAACACCACAGCAUCUUAUUUAACGGAUGCACCGGCAGGUGUGAUGGUGCCCACUGCAGGCUUGAGCUCUUCUCCUCCAACUAUACUGACUUCAGUUCUUCCUGAGAAGACGGAGCUGGGAGCCCUGAAGGCCGACCGCAGAAACUGUGUCCGACACGUGGGGUUAAAUGGCAGUACUGUCACCAGAGUCAUCUCCACUGUGUACCGCUCUGAAAGCACUGAGCUGACCAACCGCUGGAGAGUGAGCGACUACAGUGCAGACGGCCACAUUCUCAUGUCAGUCCUCUGUAAGUUUACCAAAGAGUCCAUAUAUUGUGCAAGGACUCAGAGGAAGAAGAGGAAGUGCCGUGAGCAAGAGAGCAGCAGCAGUCUGUGUCCACCAAAGAAAUGCCUGCGAGUGUGAUUUUUUAUCCUCUAGCUGGCAGUGUGGCAUGACAAAACCUUUAGUUUUUACUCCUCAGGGCUGGCCUUUGCGUCUGGCAGGGCUCCUGAGGCCCCUGCUAGCGUCUUGAAUGUAGACAUGCUGCACCAUAUGAAAGAUAUGGUUGGCUGAGGGAUAAAUAUUGUACAUUUGUAUAUAGUUUGUUCAUCAUGGCUGUAGCACACAGGUCAGUGUUUUUGGUGCGUCUUGCACUGGUGCAUCUUGCAUCUUUCUUUAUUUUUUAGAGCUGGCCUGUGUGUCUGACAUGGUGAAACUUCAGGGAGCCACGGGGGACUUACUUUCUGAGAUAUGAGCUCCCUUCAAAGAAGAUUCAAGGAAUUCAAAUGUAAUGUGUCCGUGCAGGAUGAAUUAUAAAGUCUAAAUUGCCUCUUGGCCAAUGUGUGUUGGGAUAGACUCCAGUCUCCCCUGCGGGCUUGAACAGCAGAGGCACUUUAGAUGGAUUUCAGAUCAAGCUUCAGAUUUCAGUCUGAGUGAGGAAAGAGACUCACAACAGAGAACAUUACAGCUGCAGGGACAGAGUCAGAGACUACUACUGAUCCACCAGUGACAGGCAGGACGAGCAGGAAGAGCAGAGUGAUAGAAGAAGAGGGAGAGGACAGAAACAGCUUGAUAGAAACCAGUGAUGAUAUUAACUCCACCUGCACUUCUCUCCCAGCUAACUGGAGCAGCCAGCUGUGGGCGGAGUGAUAAACACUGAGCUGUUUGUGAAGGAUGGAAAAGAGAAGCUGAAAGUUAAAUAUAUUGUGUUUGUGGUGUAGUCAGGCUUGUAAUGUACAGUUUCUGUAGACAGACUGUAUCAGAGAGUCGUAACGUGUUUAUAAUAUUAUGUGCCAAAAUAUAUUACAGACAUGUGAAGAUUUUAACUGCUGUCCUCCCUUAUCAGCUGUUUGUCUUUAAAAGACAGAAGAAACGAGAAGACGAGAGGAGAGGAGACACUGUGAACUCUCUCAUUUAAAAAGAGCGAGAGAAGAGGAGCUGAGAUGAGACAAGAGGAGACAGCAUGCACUGUGAAUCAUCUUACAUAAAAAGAUAAACAUACAUUUAUUAUCGGAAUUCUUAUUGUUUAUUAGUCUCUUCUUGCCUGUUAUUUGUCUUUUAGAGAGAGGAAACGAGGAAGAAACAAGUCCAGACGAGACAAGAGACGAGCAAAACUGUGAACCCUCUCAUUUAAAAAGAUAAAUAUAGAUUUUUUCUGUGUGAUUAUUUUUAUACUGAUCAAUAGUUCUUCUGUUUACCUCAGUUGAAGUUAUUAAGUGUAACUCCCCCUUGUCUAUUAUUUCUCUUUCAGAGAGAGGAGUCGAGACGAGAUAUAAAAAGAUGAACAUAUAUUUAUUCCAAGUUAUUUUUGCAGAAUUUCUAUUCUUAUCAAUAGUUCUUCUUUUUAUGUCAUUGCCUAAAUUAUUAACUGUUAUUCUCCCUUAUCUAUUAUUUGUCGUUUAGAGAGAGGAGAGGAAAUGCCAUUAGGAGGAAACAAGAAAAAUACCAGACAACACAAAAAGAGAGGAAAGGAGACAGUCUGCACUGUGAAGCCUCUCAUUUCAAAAUGAGGACGAGCUGCUCCAGAUGUCUCCUCAUCUGCAGCAGCAUCGCAGACAUCAUCCUGUCUGUCAUCACGUCGCAUGUCAUCCUCAAUGAGAUCUUUUAAACCCUUUUUGGUCCAUUUAAUUUCUUUUGUUCAACCCCUUUAAAGAUAACAUUGUUUUAUCUUUUUAUUAUUAUCAAGAAAUCUCAUGAAAAGACCCAAA